rnacentral:rRNA from 1 species
GAUGAACGCUGGCGGCGUGCCUAAUACAUGCAAGUCGAGCGAAUGGAUUAAGAGCUUGCUCUUAUGAAGUUAGCGGCGGACGGGUGAGUAACACGUGGGUAACCUGCCCAUAAGACUGGGAUAACUCCGGGAAACCGGGGCUAAUACCGGAUAACAUUUUGAACCGCAUGGUUCGAAAUUGAAAGGCGGCUUCGGCUGUCACUUAUGGAUGGACCCGCGUCGCAUUAGCUAGUUGGUGAGGUAACGGCUCACCAAGGCAACGAUGCGUAGCCGACCUGAGAGGGUGAUCGGCCACACGGGGACUGAAACACGGCCCAGACUCCGACGGGAGGCAGCAGUAGGGAAUCUUCCGCAAUGGACGAAAGUCUGACGGAGCAACGCCGCGUGAGUGAUGACGGCUUUCGGGUCGUAAAACUCUGUUGUUAGGGAAGAACAAGUGCUAGUUGAAUAAGCUGGCACCUUGACGGUACCUAACCAGAAAGCCACGGCUAACUACGUGCCAGCCGCCGCGGUAA